CUCACAACAGUUACAAGAUGCCAAACUCCUAAACUAGAACCAGAGGGUCCUCACAACAGUUCCAAUAUGCCAAACUCCUAAACUAGAACCAGAGGGUCCUCACAACAGGUCCAAUAUGCCAAACUCCUAAACUAGAACCAGAGGGUCCUCACAACAGGUCCAAUAUGCCAAAAUCCUAAACUAGAACCAGAGGGUCCUCACAACAGGUCCAAUAUGCCAAAAUCCUAAACUAGAACCAGAGGGUCCUCACAACAGGUCCAAGAUGCCGAAAUCCUAAACUAGAACCAAAGGGUCCUCACAACAGGUCCAAGAUGCCGAAAUCCUAAA